CAAAAGGGAUUAGAUACCCCUGUAGUCCUAGCAGUAAACACUGCACACUAAACAUUAGUACCUCCUCGAGAGGUGUUAGUGCUGAAGAGAAGUCGAAGAGUGUGCUACCUGGGAAGUAUAGUCGCAAGGCUGAAACUUAAAGGAAUUGGCGGGGAGACACUACAACGGGUGACGCGUGCGGUUCAAUUAGAUUCUACACCGUGAACCUCACCAGGAGCGACAGCAGGAUGAAGGUCAGUCUGAAGGGCUUACCUGACACGCUGAGAGGAGUUGCAUGGCCAACGUCAGCCUGUGCCGUGAGGUGACCUGUUAAAUCAGGUAACAGGCAAGACCCGCAUGUAUAUUUACUACGUGUACAAUAUACAGAUUGCCUUGGUAACGAGGAUGAAAGUGCGGGCUACGUUAGGUGAGUACAGCCUGAAUCCCCUGGGCAACACGCGCGCGUCAAUGGUGGAUACAACGGGACGCAACGCCGAAAGGCGAAGCUAAUCUCUUAAAGUCCAUCUCAGUUUAGAUCGAGGUUUGAAACUCAGCCUCGUGACACUGGAAUCCGUAGUAAUCGUUUGUUAGCAGCGAACGGUGAAUAAGUCACUGUCUCUUGCACACACUGCCCGUCAAACCAACCGAGUUAUGUUAUGGUGAAACCCUUCGGGGGAGAACCUUGAUGUGACAAGGUAGGUUAAGUCGUCACAAGGUAACUGUAGGGGAACCUGCAGUUG
rnacentral:rRNA from 1 species